CAAUAGCGUAUAUUAAAGUUGUUGCUGUUAAAAAGCUCGUAGUUGGAUUUGUGGCGUACGGUGUGUUCCGGGCACUUGUUGUCUGAGUAACCUGCUGUUGCCAUCCUUGGGUGGAACCUGUGUGGCAUUAGGUUGUCGUGCAGGGGAUGCCCAUCAUUUACUGUGAAAAAAUUAGAGUGUUCAAAGCAGGCUUAUGCCGUUGAAUAUAUUAGCAUGGAAUAAUGAGAUAGGACUUUUUUGCUAUUUUGUUGGUUUGCGCAAAGAGGUAAUGAUUAAUAGGGACAGUUGGGGGUAUUCGUAUUCCAUUGUCAGAGGUGAAAUUCUUGGAUUUUUGGAAGACGAACUACUGCGAAAGCAUUUACCAAGGAUGUUUUCAUUAA
rnacentral:rRNA from 1 species